GCGCCAGUAGCUCAAGCGGAUAGAGCAACAGCCUUCUAAGCUGUGGGUUGAGGGUUCGAGUCCCCCCUGGCGCA
rnacentral:tRNA from 1 species